rnacentral:rRNA from 1 species
GAUGAACGCUGGCGGCGUGCCUAAUACAUGCAAGUCGAGCGAACAGACGAGGAGCUUGCUCCUCUGACGUUAGCGGCGGACGGGUGAGUAACACGUGGGUAACCUACCUAUAAGACUGGGAUAACUCCGGGAAACCGGGGCUAAUACCGGAUAACACAUGAAACCGCAUGGUUUCAUGAUGAAAGACGGUUUUGCUGUCACUUAUAGAUGGACCCGCGGCGUAUUAGCUAGUUGGUAAGGUAACGGCUUACCAAGGCAACGAUACGUAGCCGACCUGAGAGGGUGAUCGGCCACACUGGAACUGAGACACGGUCCAGACUCCUACGGGAGGCAGCAGUAGGGAAUCUUCCGCAAUGGGCGAAAGCCUGACGGAGCAACGCCGCGUGAGUGAUGAAGGUCUUCGGAUCGUAAAACUCUGUUAUUAGGGAAGAACAAGGAUGUAAGUAACUAUGCAUCCCUUGACGGUACCUAAUCAGAAAGCCACGGCUAACUACGUGCCAGCAGCCGCGGUAAUACGUAGGUGGCAAGCGUUAUCCGGAAUUAUUGGGCGUAAAGCGCGCGUAGGCGGUUUUUUAAGUCUGAUGUGAAAGCCCACGGCUCAACCGUGGAGGGUCAUUGGAAACUGGAAAACUUGAGUGCAGAAGAGGAAAGUGGAAUUCCAUGUGUAGCGGUGAAAUGCGCAGAGAUAUGGAGGAACACCAGUGGCGAAGGCGACUUUCUGGUCUGCAACUGACGCUGAUGUGCGAAAGCGUGGGGAUCAAACAGG